UACGAAGGGUGCGAGCGUUAUUCGGAAUAACUGGGUGUAAAGAGCGUGCAGGCGGUUUCUUAAGUCAGCUGUUAAAGCGCCCAGCUUAACUGGGUACAUGCGGUUGAAACUGAGAGGCUAGAGUACGGGAGAGAAGGGUAGAAUUCUCGGAGUAGCGGUAAAAUGCGUAGAUCUCGAGAGGAAUACCGGUUGCGAAGGCGGCCCUUUGGCCCGUUACUGACGCUUAAGCGCGAAAGCGUGGGGAGCAAACAGG
rnacentral:rRNA from 1 species